CGUUUAUCAAUGCCUUGAUUGGGUUGUUAAUCGAGAAAAUUAUUUAGGAUCUGAAAUAAAAAGAGUCUCAUACCCAACCCAAGUGAUUGUUAAUUUGCCUUUUUGAUUAGAAAUUUUAAUUUCAGCUUCGAUUAAUUUUUCUUGCAGGAAUUGAAUUCACUAUUUUCUUUCUUACCUCAUCUUCGAUAUUUUUUUUUUACAAACACUUUGCCCUUUGUCCCUAUGGAAUACGAUCCUGGACUUAUCCUUGUAUUACUUUAACAGCUUCUACGCUUGGAAGACAAAAUUAUAAACUGGUCAGUCUCCGCGGAUAGCUACCGACAGCGAUAGAGACCAUGGAUUCAACCUCCUCUCUGCUAUGGCAAUAAAAUUAGUCCUGGACAAUGUCCUUCUCACCAUUGAUUUAGUCGUAUCAACCGCACAUAAUUAGGGCUCCGAGAAUGAUAAAGAGAAGAUUCACUUCUGUUUUUAUCUAGUUUGGCCACCAAGGGUAACACAACCCUAUCACAAGAGUUAAACAAGGCCCCUAUUCUGAUAUGAUACCCUUGUUCAGAUGAUUUUGAUGGUUCUGCUAGGAAUCAAGGAUAGGAAGCACGUGCAAGAUUAAUUUAGCUUGGGACAUUGAGUACCAAAGGGUGUUAUGAUUAUUGGGCCGCCGUAACUAGUAGAUUUUUCAUGUUCUAUUAAUGGAGUAUUUUGAGAGAUUGAUAUUAUUAUUGAGAAUUUGUGGAGUUGUUGAUUAAUUUUGUUGGAUUAUUUCAUUGAUGACCUUGUAGAGGAAUAUAUAUAUAUAU